GUUCUUGUUUAAACUAAUAGCAGAAGUAACAAACCAUUCUUAAACAUUAUCUGUAUCUCAUAGUGCCCUAAGCCAGAGUGCACUGUGGCCCCAAACUAUUGCCUGGCCUCUGUGCACACAGGCUGCAGACAUUGAAGUGGGUUGCACAGUG
rnacentral:snoRNA from 1 species